AUUGAACGCUGGCGGCAUGCUUUACACAUGCGAGUCGAACGGUAACAGGCCUUCGGGCGCUGACGAGUGGCGAACGGGUGAGUAAUGCAUCGGAACGUGCCCAGUCGUGGGGGAUAACGCAGCGAAAGCUGUGCUAAUACCGCAUACGAUCUAUGGAUGAAAGCGGGGGACCGAAAGGCCUCGCGCGAUUGGAGCGGCCGAUGUCAGAUUAGGUAGUUGGUGGGGUAAAGGCUCACCAAGCCAACGAUCUGUAGCUGGUCUGAGAGGACGACCAGCAACACUGGGACUGAGACACGGCCCAGACUCCUACAGGAGGCGGCAGUGGGGAAUUUUGGACAAUGGGGGCAACCCUGAUCCAGCAAUGCCGCGUGCAGGAAGAAGGCCUUCGGGUUGUAAACUGCUUUUGUACGGAACGAAAAGGCUCUGGUUAAUACCUGGGGCACAUGACGGUACCGUAAGAAUAAGCACCGGCUAACUACGUGCCAGCCGCCGCGGUAAUAC
rnacentral:rRNA from 1 species